ACUCUGGAGACUGUAGUCCGCCGCGCGCUCGGGAGCUCCGGGUGGGUCCUGGGGAGUUCUAGGGACCCCCUGGACGGAGCCGUCCUGAGUCUGGGAGACCAGCCGCGCCUUGUGGCGCCCCACGUUUCUCUGCCAACGAGACGGGGAGCGAAUUGGCCUUCCCUGAGCGCGCCCCGAUUGUCGUCCGAGGGCCAAGAAGGCGCUCCCGGACCAGACCCAGAGCCGGCCAGCAUCGGAGCCUGGGAGAAAGGGCCCCUGGGGACUCAUCACAGCUUCACGGUGGAUCUCCAGAUGUGUCUGCAUAUUAAGUUAAAAGCUUCUGGUUCUUAAUUUCCCGGUUUAAAUAAAGUGUCCUGUAUGCA